CCCAACACAGGGGUCAAACCCAGCUCCUGAGAGCCCAGAAACCUGCCAGGACCUCGCUGGGGAUGGGACAGGACGGUGGGUAGGUCCUGGCAUUGGAGCUCUGUGGGGCUCUGAUGCCUUGGGUUGAUGUGGCCAGAAAUGUGUAUUCGGGUGGGGCAGUGACCCUGAUCUCCUGGCACACAUUAUCUGCUGAUGGGCAUCUCUAAACCAGCCGGGCAAUCAUCUUUAUCUGUUCCACAGCCCAUCCUCCCUGAGGAGAUAUCUCCUGUUAAUGGGUCAUCUGUUAAAAACCAGCUGGGGCAAUCAUCUUUAUCUGUUCCACAGCUCAUCUUUUAUCCAGGAGGUAUCUCCUGUUAACGGGUCAGGUGUUAAAAACCAGGUGGGACAAUCCUCUUUGCCUUUCCACAACCCAUCCUCCGUGAGGAGAUAUCUCCUGUUAAUGGGCCAUCUGAUAAACCAGGUGAGCAGUGAUCCUUAUCUCUGUGGGGAUAUCUCCUGUUAAUGGGUCAGGUGUUAAAGCAGGUGAGCAGUGAUCCUUAUCUCUGUGGGGAUAUCUCCUGUUAAUGGGUCAGG